rnacentral:rRNA from 1 species
CAGCGCCGCAAGUGGGGACCUUUUUUAUUGGGCCUAAAGCGUCCGUAGCUGGUUUAGUAAAUCUUUUGUGAAAUCGUUAGGCUCAACUUAACGGCAUGCAGAAGACACUGCUAAUCUUGAGACCGGGAGAGGUAAGGAGUAUUUUGGGGGAACCGGUAAAAUGGGAUAAUCCUCGAAGGACUACCUGUGGCGAAGGCGUCCAACCAGAACGGAUCCGACGGUGAGGGACGAAAGCUGGGGGAGCGAUCCGGAUUAGAUACCCGAGUAGUCC